rnacentral:rRNA from 1 species
GACGAACGCUGGCGGCGUGCUUAACACAUGCAAGUCGAACGAUGAAGCUGGAGCUUGCUCCGGUGGAUUAGUGGCGAACGGGUGAGUAACACGUGAGCAAUCUGCCCUUGACUCUGGGAUAACUGCGGGAAACUGUAGCUAAUACCGGAUACGACACCUUGGGGCAUCCCAGGGUGUGGAAAGAAUUUCGGUCAAGGAUGAGCUCGCGGCCUAUCAGCUAGUUGGUGAGGUAAUGGCUCACCAAGGCGACGACGGGUAGCCGGCCUGAGAGGGUGACCGGCCACACUGGAACUGAGACACGGUCCAGACUCCUACGGGAGGCAGCAGUGGGGAAUAUUGCACAAUGGGCGAAAGCCUGAUGCAGCAACGCCGCGUGAGGGAUGAAGGCCUUCGGUUGUAACCUCUUUAGUCAGGAGAAGCGAAGUGA